GGAGUUUGGUCCGUGUCUCAGUACCAAUGUGGGGGACCUUCCUCUCAGAACCCCUACUGAUCGUUGCCUUGGUGGGCCGUUACCCCGCCAACAAGCUAAUCAGACGCAUCCCCAUCCUAUAGCGGUGAACCUUUGUUCCAACUUAGAUGUCUGCAUUGGAAAACAUAGAGUAUUAAUCCGACUUUCGCCGGGCUAUCCUCUACUAUAGGGAAGGUUGGAUACGCGUUACUCACCCGUGCGCCGGUCGCCAGCAUUAAAAGCAAGCUUUCGAUCUGCUGCCCCUCGACUUGCAUGUGUUAAGCCUGUAGCUAGCGUUCAUC
rnacentral:rRNA from 1 species